rnacentral:rRNA from 1 species
AUGACCCAGGAACCAUUGUAUCCUGAGGUCCAUCCUAAGAGAGUUGAGAAAGAUUCUCAGAGAACUAAUAUCGAUGCACCUAGUCCUUCUAAUAAAAAGAAAAAGAAAUCUGAUAGGACUUCGCAUGCUAGCGAACCUGCUAUAGACACACCUGCGAAUCCCAAUGAUAUUUCUAUUUCUGAUGCUGAGACACAAUCUGGUGAUGAACAUGAACCUAGUGUUAAUGUUAAUAAUGAUGUUCAUGUUGAUGCUCAACCUAGUAAUGAUAAUGAUGUAGAGAUUGAACCUGCUAUUGAUCUUGAUAACCCACAAUCAAAGAAUCAAAGUUAUGAUAAGAGAGACUUUGCUGCUAGAAAAACAUGGUAG